UACGGGGGGGGCAAGCGUUGUUCGGAAUUACUGGGCGUAAAGGGUUCGUAGGUGGCCUACUAAGUCAGACGUGAAAUCCCUCAGCUUAACUGGGGAACUGCGUCUGAUACUGGGGGGCUUGAGUGCAGGAGAGGAACGCGGAAUUCCAGGUGUAGCGGUGAAAUGCGUAGAUAUCUGGAGGAACACCGGUGGCGAAGGCGGCAUCCUGGACCAACACUGACGCUGAUGAGCGAAAGCCAGGGGAGCGAACGGG
rnacentral:rRNA from 1 species